rnacentral:sRNA from 1 species
GAUAGUGUCUUGCCUGUGAAUUUAUGUA